rnacentral:rRNA from 1 species
AUUGAACGCUGGCGGCAGGCCUAACACAUGCAAGUCGAGCGGAUGAAGGGAGCUUGCUCCUGGAUUCAGCGGCGGACGGGUGAGUAAUGCCUAGGAAUCUGCCUGGUAGUGGGGGAUAACGUCCGGAAACGGGCGCUAAUACCGCAUACGUCCUGAGGGAGAAAGUGGGGGAUCUUCGGACCUCACGCUAUCAGAUGAGCCUAGGUCGGAUUAGCUAGUUGGUGGGGUAAAGGCCUACCAAGGCGACGAUCCGUAACUGGUCUGAGAGGAUGAUCAGUCAAACCUGAACUGAGAAACGGGCCCAAAUCCCAAGGGAGGCCGCAGGUGGGAAAUUUGGACCAUGGGCGGAAGCCUGAUCCAGGCAAGGCGGGUGUGGGAAGGAGGGCCUCGGAUUGGAAAAGCCCUUAAGUUGGGAGGAAGGGCAGUAAGUUAAUACCUUGCUGUUUUGACGUUACCAACAGAAUAAGCACCGGCUAACUUCGUG